AUGAAAUUAGAGGAGAAUGGGCUACUUUUGUGCUACAACUAAUCAUGAAUCAUGUUGAUGCAUCAUGAUCACCAUGCAUGGUAUACACUCUUGGGAGGGUGAAAUGGAGAAUAAAAAGAAAGAAGAAGGCAACAAGAUUUUGGGUUUUUAAAUGCAACUCUUAUGUCAUACGUUGUAGGACAUAAACGUUACUUUAAUUGCAACUGAGAAAUUUAGAUUUUUAGAUGGGACUUCUAUGUCAUUUUAUGGUUAGCCGGUUUUAUGCUUAUGAAAUGGAGGUAUAUAUGAAUCUUGGGAUC